rnacentral:lncRNA from 1 species
UCCCCUUGAUUUGCUACUGCCAAGCAAUUUAGUAGGUAAUUACAUGAAUAAAUACUUGGUUCAAGCCCGAUUUUCUUAACAUGAUUAACAACGUCAAUAGCAUGAUCAAACAGUUUAUUUGCAAUAAAAAUCUUGAUGAGUUCAUCAGCUACAAGAGUUGAAGGUGUUGUAUUAUUACUUGAACGCAGAACAAGAUGCAUUACCUUCAAUAAGUCAACACCAGCAUUCUGCAAGUAGAAAAUCAUUUGUUUAAGAAGUGUGUACACUUCCAAAUCCAUUCCAGCAAAGGCAAAUGUAUGUAUCAUCAUUCUAUAGCCACUUAUUGAAUGAUACAAGCCAUA